CUACCUUGAAAUCAAAUUGGAAACUGAGUGGAAAAAUAGUUCUCCUCUUGACCCUCUCUGCGUUUAUACUCCAAUCUACGCCCAACGCAUGGCUUUGUUGUACACUCUGUAUGAGUGCCCUCUAUAAUUAAACCUUUAUUCAAAUCUCCUCCUGCCUUCUUCAUCACCCUUGGUUAGAUCAAAACAGGAGAGGCAAAAAAAAAAAAGAAACUUGUCUGGGGUGCAGAAGCAGAGAGGAAGAGAUACUAUUUAAUGAAGCAGGCUAACGGUGGUGGGGAGAGAAAGUCUCAGUUCUCCCAUCUCAGAAACAUUGAGCCUGGAAAUAUUGCUGAAAUCACAUUUGGGAACAAAGCUCCGCUUUAAGUAGGCUCACCCAUGAGUGUUGCUAAGCAAUGGAGAGAAGGCGAGAGAGGGAGAGCGCCUAACUUCAGGAUUAGAAGGAUAGAUAGAAGGAAAACCACUAAGGCUUCUAUGUAGCCUUAUUUAAAGUCAGCUUCCAAGUCCUAUGUUUUUCUUGCCUGUCUUCUGACCUAUUUGCACCACAAUUAGUCAAAUAUGGUUCAGUAUCACCACGCAUCCAGCACAGAGUUGCGCCGCGUCCUGGAGCUCUGGCACAAGCAGUUACGCACCAGAACUGUCAACAUGUCUCCACUUUGAACAGGGAAUUUAAGAGCAGUCUCUGAAGUCCUACAGAACUGACAAACUACUCAUUUAGAGAGGCUCCACGCUGGGUGACUCCCAUGAUCUCCUUUUCUUUACAAACAGCAUUUCUUUUAAAAAGCAAAAAGGAUCCUAGCUUCCUCAUGCUUACCAACAUCUCCAAGAUUUAUGGUGUCAGUUGGAUUCACCUCCCUCACAUCCCAUUAAGGGUGGCUAUUUCCUGUCAAAGAAACACUGAGCAGAGCUGCCCUGCACUCCUGCCCCAAACAGCAGACGCCGAGAAAGGCAGCCCCCCUUAUUGACACCACAUCUCCUGCAAUGACGCUGUUUGCCUUCUUUACUGCAGCUGUACAUGUUGGGAUCAGCACUUAAGCGAUUUUUAUGUGUCUUUCCUGGGCAGUGUACUCUGCAAUCUCACCCAUAAUAUAUGAGGUUUUAACUGUUUCCUUUUAGGCCUUUUUUUUUUUUUUAGCCUAUUUAUAGCUUCCUAACUGACUGCAUUUUGCAAUUUAUGAGCAACUUAAAUGACCUGAAUCUCCUGUAUCUAAUUGUAGUGGGAGAGGCCUCAUUAUUUGUCGUGCCUUUUCCCAAUCCCUUGCUUUGAAAUCCUCGCUUUGUGUCGCGUUGUCAGAAGUGAUUACAGCACAAAUAAAGACUGCACUAAAAACCACAGAUCUCGCGUUAUGGGCCAUUCCUGGCCUGUAGGGAUUAUUGAUGGUUGAUCUGCCUCUUGAAUUUGGCUUCCUGAGCCAUUUCUCCCCCAGAAUACCACCUUUGAGAGAUUCCAAGCAUAGGCAGGGCUCCCUCCCUCUUUCUCUCUCUAGUGUCUAUCAAGAACAGUAGGAUGCAUGUGACAGAAGAGCUACCAGCAUUCUGUAAUACCCAGCAUCACUUCUAUGCAACUUUCUUCACAGAGCUUUAGUGGUUGUGGAAGGAUAUUAUUAUUGUUGGCUUUUCAUCCUCUUCUGCAACCCACCAACAGGACUGGUCUAUGCUUCAGCAGGCAUUGCCACCACUGCUGGUUUCAACACCACAAUCCCAGAGCAGCGGCAACAGAGCCCACAAAGGAACGUGGUCCUGAACAAGUCAACAGGCAUGGGUGAAAGGUCUGCAAGCAACGUCACGCUCCAAACCUCAACAGUUCACUUUUCUUUUGCACCAGUAUUUCUAUUUUUGCUCUGUGGCAAAAAUACCCAGAGGCAUUGGUUGGAGGGAUUUUUAAUCUAUGAUUUGUUUAACUUCAAAACAAUAAAUAAAAACUAAAAAUCAAUUAGAGCAGCCAGGAAGAGAGAGUGCUGCUUUUGUUGGCUGGAAAUGAAGAAGUUUAAUGUAUCCUUUCCUAAACAAACCUCCUCUAUACAUGAUUUUCUUGUAACAACAGGCAGGCUUCAAAAGACAUUUGGAGGUUUGGUUCAGGAUAGGAACCCAAAAGUUGAGAAAAUUCAGUUCUCUGCAAAACAGAGCUGGAAGUCUUGAGAACAGCAUGAGUGAAAUUUCCAGUGCUUCCCAUGUCUGCUCAAGCAGAGACAGUACUGUUAAAACAACCUCUCAGGCUGCUUUUCAGGAAACUGGCUAUUUUCUGCUGAACCAGCCAGAAACCAUUAAGUUCAAUACAUAAAAUAAUGAAAAGAGAAGUUGGCUGCCCUCAAAGGUAAACAGAGGUCAAGGUGGAGCUUGGCAUGCAGUUAUUCUUUGGUUAAAGAAAAAAGCUGCUCCAUGCAGAUCUGCUCAAAUUAAAAGAAAUAAUUUACAUAAAGUUUAUGAACUCAUCUGUUCAUCUUCCAGAAGUAAUUCAGUGGAUGAGAUUAUUAGCAGGGCCAUUAGCAGAUCUGAACUCUUUCUAGGAAAAAAAAGAUGAUUUGUAUGUCUAAUAAAAAUGAAACCAUAAUGUUCAGUUUCAAUUUGACCAACUAAUUGUAUAUAUACUUUCCAAAUUAAUAAAAAUGAACUUCAGUAGGUUCUACUCAGCAUCAAACAAGCCAUACACGUGAGAAAAUUAUGAGUUAUCAGUAAGCAAUGAGGUUAAAAUGCAGUGAAUAAAUCACUUCCAGAACCUAGAAAAGAUUCUGCAGGAUAUCUCAUCCAGACAGGUUUGCUAUUCCUUCACUGACAGUACUACAUCCUCUGCAGCCCUAACAGCUCCUGUGUUUAGACACCCAGGGAAAGGGUUGGGCAUAUUCAUAGCAUAAAUGAAUAGCAGGAAUGACAGACAAACAAGAUGUUCUUUCAGAGGCCUUGACUGACCGACCUCCUUCACAGGCCUCAAUACAAAAUCCACUGAAGGAGCGCAGGUGCUCAAAACCAGUAUUUGCAGGCCUCAAGUUUUAGAGCACGUACGUGGAGUUAAUAAAACUACCAGGACUCAGCCACUAAGUACAGUUUUCCUCUUUCCCUUCUCACCCUGCAGACAAUCCCAUUUUAAUUACUGCCUAACUCUCCACAUAACUUCAUUCCUCACUGUAGUCUUCAUUAUUCUCUUUUCUAGCCUCUUUCUCACCCCAAGGCAAGACUGAGAAAGCAAGGACUGUCAGAGAAAGAAGUUGGAGGGGAAGCCCUUCCCCAGAAGCUUGGGACAGAACAGAACAGGUUUUCAGAAAUCCCCUGCUUUCUCAUCUCAGACGGUGCCAGAGCAAAUAGCCAGAGAAAGCAAACACCUGAGCCCACGGCCAGGCUCCCCCUCACACACCCCACCGGCCUCCGCAGGCUGGUGGAUGCGAUCAGACAUGUUCCUAGCUCCAAGGGAUCCCUGAGUGAUAGAUUUUACAUCUCAACCUUCCAAAAAAAAGGUGAAGGUGAUCAAUCAGAAGUGCUAUUUGUUAUCAGUCCUAAGAGCUGCUUACGGUGCUACUGGCGGGAGGUGUAUUUUAAAUUUCAUCACCCACUGGAUAUCUGUCUUCUGCCUCUGUUAAUUCCCAAGGCUGAUCAGAGCAAUCUAGCUAUACCUAUGGCCUAGAGAGAUUUUGGAGCAGUGCAAGUCAAAACACCCUUGCCUUGCAAAAACAUUAAAAAUAGAUACUUUGAUUGCACUUAAAAAGGAAGCAUGCUUUGACCCAGACAAGUCCAGGCUAGAUUGCCCAUGACCUUGACUAAUCUUUUCUUGGCAUGUUUUUGAGUGCAUCAUCUCCCUUGAGCACAGCACAUGCAGCACUCCCAGUUCCUAAUGCAGCUCUUUUUUUUUCCCCCAGGCAUGCUCAGAUGAAGAAUUUGAAGCUAGGUUUUCCUUUAAGGGCAAGGGAGGACUAGAAGUUUAGAUAUCCACAGUAAAAUUCUGGGGACGAAGGAGAAGAGUGUAAAAUUGCAAAGUCCUGAUUGUAUAAGAACAAUGAAUAAGUUCCCAGAGGGAAGAUUAGAACAAGAAAGAGUGAUGAUGCUAGGAAGGAGGAAGCACUGGGAUAGGAAUCACCUCUCAGAAGAAGCUCUGUAUCCCAGAAGCAAGUCAAUUAGGAUUCCUUCCGAAAGGAAGGGUGCUGAGGCUUCAUCACAAAGCAGUAUUAGCCUCUGGCUUUGCACCUUCCUGACCUGCCCCACAAAAGCACCUACAAUCAUCAGUUGAACUGGUUCUGUAAGCAUUUCAGUCCUUGGAAUUUAUUGUUCACUCUUUCUUAGACAAGAUCCCAAUGUAUUUUUGCUGAAUCUAGAUUUAUUUUGUGACUUAACGUGUUUGUGUUAAACCACAGAGACAUGUGACCUAAGCAGUGCCUGCCAUACAACAGGAUGCAGCAGCAUUUAGAUCACCCAGGUCAACUAAACAAGGAAGAACUGGAUACAAUUAUUCCAAAAACCUCAGCUGAGGUGUAAUAAGUUGCCCUAGCCAACAAAUCCUCAUCCUUGCCCUAGAGGCUAUAGUUCAUCAGAUACCUUAAUUCACAGUUAUGCAGCAACUUCUAUCCUAUGACCACAAAAGCCUCUUACAGACUGUACAUACAGAAUAAUUCAUGCAUACAUGCAUGCAAUUCAGCAGAUGUAGCCACACUAAAGUUGAAAGCAAUGUUACAUUCUCGACUCUUAGUGAAGUUUGAGGACAUGCUUUUUUAAGCCAGAUUUCUUCCUUUAACCAAAGAAGCACCACACGCUAAGUGGUAUAAAUUUUCUUAUGCAGGGAAUAAGGUCCUAAUUAUUGCUUAAUUUUGCCAGUUCCUAUGAAUCACCAGGAAAAGAUUAAAGCAAGAGUAAAUGUUGGUUCCUUGUCCUGUUUACAGUAAUCAGCUCAAACAAAGUAACUUGAGUCACUUACAUCAUUAGAAGGUGCAUAUGGUUACAUUUUUCUCAUUAAGUUUGCACAGAAGAAAGGAGAUAGAUGCCUGCAGACAGAACUCCCUGCAAACAACUGUUAGUCUGAUGAAUUAAGGAAGUCUAAGAACUCCAUGCCUGCCUACUAAUGCAAUGCUCUUUUUCUGAAGAUUCAUAUUUGAGCUGUUCCCCAUGACAGGUAUGAGUAGGGUGGCAGUGGAGAGUUAAGAACAACGCAGACAAACAGAAAACUGAGCCUUGCACAGACCAACAGCCUUAUAUUUAUCAGCAGCCAAAGACUUCUGUGGUGCAGCCAAGUAGCCAAUAAGUGAAAACCACCACCUACCAACCUCCCCACUGCAAAGUAUGUUUUAUCCUGAAAGCUGGCUACUAAAUUCAUUUUCCAGGAGAGCCUUAACAUAGAGAGCAAGUAACACUAAACGUACUACAUCCUGCUGGCAUUCCUUUCAUCCCAUAGGAUAAUACAAACUAUUUAAAUCAAGUAUCUAUGCCUUUUUGCUCCAUCAUUCUUUUUCUUAAGUGUCCAGAUGUUUGAUUAUUCCUCUCAUUGGUUAGAAGGAAACUGAGCCAGAAAAUCAGGAUGAAUAGCACGAGGAUGAGUGGGCACCAUUUCAGAAAGUCUGUGCCUUAAACCCAUUAGUAUUCACAAUGUUCAAGUGCCGUGAUACUCAAUUCAUUUUAUUGCAAUAACAAAAUAGCCUGUUUUGCCAUUAUAAGUCAGAUAAUCAAGGAUGUAAGCAUUUUACCUCUAAAAGCUUGCACAGCUAUACCACCAGUUGGUCAUUAUGGGUGUGCAAUAGUACUUAAAUAUUUCUUUAAAAGGGAAGUCCAGGUUUUCUUCCCUUUUGGCUCAACUCUUAUUUACUGAAAAUUAAAGACAUGUUAUCUCCUUAAAAGAAAUUGACAAUUACGAUGCCUUGCAAAAAGAUCUGGCCUUUGAAGUACGAAAUUCUGUUCCAGUGAAAGAAAUGCAGAAUAGUUCACAAACUCAACCAUAUGAAUCUUCACAGAACUCUGGAAUUACAACCACAAAGAGGUGUCUUGGUGUAAUCACCCUAUCAGUCCAAUCUGAAUGUCAAAAAGAGAAAGCUGAAAAGUUUGGGUUCAAAUCUGGCCUGCUUACAGGUCGCGUUAUAAAAUACCUCCACAUUUAUUGUAAAAAACCUCAAAGCUCAUUACUGUUUUCUUUUUCCUGUAAAUAAUCCAUUUCACCCCUUUGCCCAGAAGCAACCAACUUAACAGUGGAAUGCAGCAGCUUGUUCCUAACACAACUAUAUUGAAGCAAAAAAAAAAAAAAAGCUAUAUGCAACCAGAUCUAAAAAGAAAAAACACAAUCAUUCACAUGAGAUUUUGAACAAGAUGAGGGCCCGCUCAGUUCUCCUCCUGGAGAAGAAAAUAUCCCUUGACUUCAGAAUGAAUGACGGGAGAGGUUUUUUGAUCUGUGCAAUGCUGGCAAGGCACAGCCUCGCCUAAGCGCAAUGCCUGGACACUGGCUUGCUCCCAAGCCUGUGAACAUCACAGGCUGAAGGCACAGAAGU
ensembl:lncRNA